rnacentral:lncRNA from 1 species
CAAAAACAUUCCAAAAAAUUAAAAUUUAUACACUAACAGAAAUACGAUAAAUACAAAAUUCGUAUAACGCGAUUGACACUGACUACUGAAUGGAAAAAUCUGAAUCAAACAAUCUUUUUCAGAUUUUACACAAGAAAAUCUCCAAUCUCCCUCCUCAAAGUCAGCCACCAUCACCAUGACUAGUAGUCAAUGGAAACCACAUCGUUGCCUUCCAUAGCCACCAUCACUUGCCGUCGUCGCCUUUCCCACAUCCCGUCGUAGAAAAACUGUAAAACUACCCAAAUAAACUAUUAUAACUAGUUGUACAACAUAUAAUAGCAAAUCCGCACAUCAACAGAGAAAAAGAAAAAGAAUAAUGACAAAUGAUAAAAGGAAAUUAGCACAAAGAUUUAUGUUAAAUGGCUCAAUGAAAACCACAUACACAAAAAUGAAAAUAAAUCAACCGUAAAACAUGUUUCUUUUUCCUCCAGAUGCUAUCGCCUCCUUCCCACAUCUCCUUUUCAAUAGCUUUCUUGAUGAUUUCAAAGCCGCCUUCUUUUCAUUAUCAUUUAUAAAUUAACAUUGUUUUACCUAUAGUUUGUGUGGGCACCGGCUCCAUUCCAGUCCCCUUGGAAAUGAGCAAAAACAUUACAAAUAAGUCAAAAAACACAAGUUCCUCAAAAAAAAAUACUAAUAUUUAUUCGUGUCAAAAAGAAAUUUUUUUUUUUUUUUUUUAGGAAGCCCAGAAGGGAUUUGGUGAUGGAGGAGAGGAAAUUGAUUGCUGAGAUUAUUGGAGUAGAAGGAGUGGUAUAGCCAACAGUUUACAGUGACGCCGAAUAUACGAUUUACGGUGAUUGUCGGUGGUGGUGGUGAUGGUGAGGAGGGAGAUUGGGGAUUUUCU